CCUACGGGAGGCAGCAGUGGGGAAUAUUGCACAAUGGGGGAAACCCUGAUGCAGCGACGCCGCGUGAGUGAAGAAGUAUUUCGGUAUGUAAAGCUCUAUCAGCAGGAACGAGACAAGACGGUACCUGACUAAGAAGCACCGGCUAACUACGUGCCAGCAGCCGCGGUAAUACGUAGGGGGCAAGCGUUAUCCGGAAUCACUGGGUGUAAAGGGAGCGUAGACGGCUGAGCAAGCCUGAAGGGAAAGGCGGGGGCCCAACCCCUGGACUGCUUUGGGAACUGUACGGCUGGAGUGCAGGAGGGGUAAAUGGAAUUCCUAGUGUAGCGGUGAAAUGCGUAGAUAUUACGCAGAACUCCGAUUGCGAAGGCAGCAUACCGGCGCCCAACUGACGCUGAAGCACGAAAGCGUGGGUAUCGAACAGGAUUAGAUACCCUAGUAGUC
rnacentral:rRNA from 1 species